rnacentral:lncRNA from 1 species
CCACAUGAAACUACCAGAAAUUCAACAAAGGCAAUGCGUUCCCAGGUUAUGUAGUCCAUUGCUCCUGAAUCUACAAUCCACAAGGAUUAGAUUAAGUUAUAAAAAUAAAACUAGAAACACAAAGUUCACUAAUUCGAGCAUUGAGGCUUAGAGCAAUCUCUAGCAUAGCGACCCUUUUUGUCACAAUAUAGCAUUUCACUUUAGCAUCUUUGACAUGUUUGGGACCUUUGUUUUUGUGUUUUUUAGUCUUUUCUCUUUUAGUAGAUUGAGCUUGAUGUGGACCUCUCUUCUUUCCGCAGUUCCUUUUCAUUGAAUCACUCUUGGUUUAGGAGGUUCUUGCCAUGUACAACUCAGCUAUUGGCUUUGCAACCUCAUGUCGUCCCUCCUCUAACUCAAUAUGCCUCCAGACAUCUUCCAAAGUUAUGAUUCACUCAUUAUGGGCCAACUGGAUAUACAUGAUCUUAAGAACUAGGUAAAGGGUGUAUGAUAGCUUCGAUUUGUUGUUCAGCAGUCAGCACAUGACCAUUAUCAUUCAAAUCCCCAAUCAUAUUUGGCAUUUGCUUUAGAUGUAUUUUCAUUAGAAUGUUUUGGGUGUUUCUUAUAUGAAUAAAAUUUUAUCUUUAAAGAUCACAACGUUAUAGUUGAACAAGUACCAAACCUCCUCCUCAAAGCACUCCAAAUACAUAUAGCUCUUUGGUGAUCCUUAAACUCUCUUAGGAUGUCAUCAUCUAAGGUGCUCAAUAACGUAAUACGAGUAAUGAAGUUCUUUUUCUUCCAACUAUCAUAGGCUUCACGCUCACGCCAAUACUGAGCAGUGUUUCAUUCCUCGGGUUCAUUUACGACAUUGUUAAUGGCGUCCAGACCCUCUUGCUCCUCUAGCAUAUACUGGACUUUCAAGCUCAAAGUUAAUAGUUAUCGCCAUUGAGUUUCAACCUUUUGUUGAGCUCAACAACAAUGUUAUUCGAAGUUGUAGUCUAUCUUCAACAAAAUAAAAAAAUAUCAUGAGGUUCAUAUAAAAAAAAUGCGAGGCACGAUAGUCACACCUCCUUUUUAUCUCUACACCCCGCGAAGGGCGCAGAAAAGAGAGUUUUUCAAAUUAAAGGACAAUGGGAAGGGGAUUUAUUUAUUUAAAGAUUUCAGAGUCUCCACUUGGGAUAAUUAAUAGUGUCCCAAGUCAUCGAUUUAAAUCCCGAAUCGAGGAAGUUUGACUCUGUAAUACAGUUUUCGACCCAGAAAUCCAGGUAAGGAAUUUUGUUAACCGUAGAGAAGGUGUUAGGCAUUCUCGAGUUCCGUGGUUCUAGCACGGUUGAUCAACUAUUAUAUUCGGCUUAAUUAUCUGAUUUUAGUACAUUUUUGAACCUAUGUGCAUUUUAAAACUUUUAACUGUUUUUUUCAUUUUUGAAGAAAAUUGCAACGUCAUUUAAAACAUGUCUUGAACCACGUCACAUAAAUGCAUCCGCGGUCCCCGACAUAUUUUAUCUAACAUUGUUGAGAUUUGGAUUUGAGUCACAUAAAUGCACAACCGAAUUUAGGAAGGUAGAUUAUUAACUAAUGCGCCUAAAAGCAACUACGCAUUUGCACUUUGCGAGGACCAUGGAAUUUGCUAAAUGACACUCCUUGAAUUCUAAGGUUAAGUUAAAGCUAAUUAAAACGAGGGACAUGCAAUUGUCGUUUUAUUUGGUACGGCGCACCUCAAUUUAUCCUUAAAGAAUCGUAUUUUUAUCAUGCAAAUAUUUCCACAAUCAGGAUGUAACUUAUUAAUCUAUCUUGUUCUGAAAACAUAAUUGCUAGAUAUACUAGUACUUUAGUUUGCUCACAUUGUAUAUACUGUAGGCCUUGGCUUUUCUAACGAUUAGAGAAAAAUAAUAAUACAUUUAAUCAUGACCAUGCAUUAUUUAACUAAAUAAUUUUGAACUUUGAUUGAACAUGAACGUGCAUUCCUAGCUAUAUUAUCCAUGGGAAAUGACAAAAGAAUAGCAAGAACUUGGUAAAUUUAACUUCUUCGCCUAAGAAUGACAAAAUUGAAGCUACAUAAGCAAAAGCAUGGUAAUAUUAACAAAACAAUAACCAUUGCAAAGAUACAGAAGCAGUAUUUGAAAGAGCAAUCUGAAAUUUACCAACCUAACACCGGCACCAACGACUGAACAUGGCAGGACUCAACGUCGACUUCCAAACCUUAACGGCAACCUCAAACCCGAAAAUGCGAUGCAACUUUAAUACUGAAAAUCUCUCCGGAAGUCAACGGACCUCUAACUCGUCCGAAACUCGGCGACAAACAGACUGAACCUAAGCUAUUUGUGGCUGCUUUUACUGGUUAUUGGGUCGAUUUUGGAAAAUUUCAUGGCUGUUGCGGGGUGUUGAUUUUGCUUAGGCUGAAAAAGAAGGAGCUGCUCCUUUUUUGGAUCUAGUUUUCGUUCUCUUCCUUCUCUUUUUUUUUUUUUGAAUUUUUCGGAUC